CACGCCCUCCUCUGGGUCGCAGCAUGCGCCUCUGCCUGCUUCUGCUGCUCGGGCUGUGCGGUGCGGACCCCGCGGCAGCGGCGCUCGGCCUCAGCUUGCGGGGAGAUUGGAAGAUCCGCAACGGGAACCGCACGCUGGAGCUGCCCGGAGAGGUCCCCGGCUGCGUGCACACCGCCUUGUACCAGCAGAAACUCAUCCAGGAUCCUUACUACAGAUUCAAUGACCUUAACUACAGAUGGAUCUCCAUGGAUAACUGGACCUACAGCAAGGAAUUUCAAAUCCUCUUUGACGUUAGCAAAUGGCAAAAAGUAAAUUUGAUUUUUGAGGGCGUUGAUACAGUUGCAGAGGUCCUGCUCAAUAAUGUUUCUAUUGGGAAAACAAACAACAUGUUCAAAAGAUAUAGCUUUGAUGUUACCCAUGUGGUCAGAGCCCUAAACUUCAUUGAGCUGCAUUUCCAGUCACCAGUGUUCUAUGCGGCCCAACAGAGCAGAGCUCACACUUGCUACCAGGUGCCCCCAAACUGCCCUCCAAGUGUACAGAAGGGAGAAUGCCAUGUCAACUUUAUUCGAAAGGAGCAGUGUUCCUUUAGUUGGGACUGGGGGCCUUCCUUCCCGACCCAGGGCAUCUGGGAAGAUGUCAGAAUUGAAGCCUAUAAUAUUUGCCACCUGAACUACUUCACAUUUUCUCCUCUAUAUGACAACUGUGCCCAGCAGUGGAAUCUCGAAAUAGAGUCUUCUUUUGAUGUUGUCAGCUCAGAGCCAGUCUCUGGUCAAGUGAUUGUAGAAAUCCCUGAAUUGCAAACACAGCAGACAUACGGCAUUGAACUUCAGCCUGGGGAAAGGAUUGUUAAGCACUUUGUGAAAAUUAACAAGAAUGUUACUGUAGAAACUUGGUGGCCUCAUGGACAUGGAAACCAGACUGGGUACAACAUGAAAAUUCUUUAUAAGUUGAAUAAAGAUGUAAACAUAAAAAAAUCAGCUAAGGUUUAUUUUAGGACAGUGGAACUGAUACAAGAGCCCAUAGAAAAGUCUCCUGGUCUGAGUUUCUACUUCAAAAUUAAUGGAUUUCCCAUAUUUCUGAAAGGGUCUAACUGGAUCCCAGCAGAUGCGUUCCAGGAGCGAGUAACCUCUGACUUGUUAUCACUCCUUUUGCAAUCUGCUGUGGACGCUAACAUGAAUGCUCUUCGGGUGUGGGGAGGAGGUAUUUAUGAGCGUGAUAAAUUCUAUGAACUCUGCGACGAGCUAGGAAUAAUGAUAUGGCAGGAUUUCAUGUUUGCCUGUGCCCUUUAUCCAACUGAUCGGGACUUCGUGGAUUCCGUGAAAACAGAAGUUGCUUACCAGGUCAGGAGACUGAAAUCUCAUCCUUCCAUCAUCGUAUGGAGUGGGAAUAAUGAAAAUGAAGCGGCGCUGAUGAUGAACUGGUACAGCAUAGACGCUGUAGACCUGCCUACCUACAAGAAAGACUAUGUGGAACUGUAUGUGAAAAACAUUCGAGAGAUCGUCUUGGAAGGAGACAAGACUCGUCCUUUUAUCACAUCCAGUCCUACAAAUGGGGACGAAUCCAUUGCAGAAGGCUGGCUCUCUUCCUACCCAUAUGACAAUCAUUUUGGUGAUGUACAUUUUUAUGACUACCUCAGUGAUUGCUGGGAUUGGAAAAUUUUCCCAAAAGCUCGAUUUGCAUCUGAAUAUGGAUAUCAGUCCUGGCCUUCCUUCACUACAUUAGAAAAGGUUUCAUCUAGAGAGGACUGGUCUUACGAAAGCAGAUUUUCAUAUCAUCGACAACAUCAUGAAAACGGUAACAGUGAAAUGCUUUAUCAGGCUGGACUUCAUUUCAAACUCCCGCAAAGCACAGAUCCGUUACGUGCGUUCAAAGAUACCAUUUACCUUACCCAGGUGAUGCAGGCCCAGUGUGUCAAAACAGAAACUGAAUUCUACCGCCGCAGCCGCAGUGAGAUAGUGAAUGGAGAAGGGCACACCAUGGGGGCGCUGUAUUGGCAGCUGACCGACAUCUGGCAGGCCCCUUCCUGGGCCUCUCUAGAGUACGGAGGAAGGUGGAAAAUGCUUCAUUACUUUGCUCGGCAUUUCUUCGCUCCGCUCUUGCCUGUGGGUUUUGAGGAUAAAGACAUGUUUUUCAUCUACGGGGUGUCAGACCUUCACUCGGACCAUAACAUGACGCUCACUGUGAGAGUCCACGCGUGGAGUUCCCUCGAGCCCCUGUGCUCUCAGAGUACCCAGCCUUUUGUGAUGAAAGCAGGGGAGGCCGUUCUCCUCUAUCAGGAGCCAGUGUCUCAGCUGCUGAGCAGAUGUGGCCACUGUACACGGCAAAGCUGUGUGGUUUCCUUUUACCUGUCAACCGACAGCAAACGCUUGAGCUCAGCCAACUAUCACUUCCUGUCCUCACUGAAGGCGGCUGUGGGGCUCCAGAAGGCACACAUCACUGCCAUCAUCUCUCAGCAAAACGACACGUUUGUGUUUGAUCUGGAAACCUCGGCUGUCGCUCCCUUCGUUUGGUUAGAUGUAGGGAGCAUCCCAGGGAGAUUCAGUGACAAUGGUUUCCUUAUGACUGAGAAGACGCGGACUAUAAUAUUUUACCCCUGGAGUCGCACCAGCAAGAGUGAAUUGGAGCAAUCUUUUCACGUAACUUCCUUGACUGAUAUUUACUGAGGGAAUCCAGGUUAUACUUUCUGUACACACGGGAAUAAAGCAUUUCGAAGGCGCCGGCUGGAGCCGCAGGCAACCAGAGGCAGCGAGGAAGCUGGAAACGGGCCUGCCUGCUGCCAGGCAUCUGAUUCGGCACCCUGAUGAGAGCGCGUCCAGCUUCUUUCAGGGAAGCCGCUUACUCGGAGGUCCUUUAGUGAGGCUGUGCCAGGACAGUGUUUUUAGGUCUUCCCCUCACAGCUUUACCACCACAUGAACCAGUUAUAGCCCAACCGUCUCUCCCUACCCAGGGAAGGAUGUCCACACAGGAGAUGUAUUGGUGAAAAUUCCACUACUUGAGAUGUCUGUGUCUUUACUGCCUGUUUUCUUCCCAGGAUUUUUAGGGUUUCUCAACUUACAUCUGCAAGACCUUGGGAGCCAAGGGUGGGAGGAAGAGUGACUCAGCCUGGACCCCUUCAUGGUGAAGUAGAAGAGAGACACCCUGCCCCUCGUUGCAAGUGUGGUUCAUUAAAACAUGCUACUGGAGUCGGUAGAUCCUGCGGUUAAAUGCUUUAUUUGUACCUCAGUUUCCUCAUCUGUAAAAUAGAGACAAAGUUCUUACUUCACAGGAUUUUUGAACAAGUAAUAUAAAGGAAUGAAUGAUGACCAUCCAUUGUAGUGCCUGGCAUGUAACAGAUGCUCAAGAAAUGUUUGUUCUUUGAGGGUUGUUGUGACAUUUCCAUGACAUAAUCAUUUUGGAAAGAGAUGUCAACAUGGAAAAACCAGUUGAUGGAAGAAGCCCCCACGCCCCUCUCAUUCUAAGAUGCUUGAACAAUUUGUGGAGCUACUCACUUGUGCAGGGUAAUGGACGCAGGCUGCUGCAGACGUAACAGAAUCUGUAAUAAUGGAGAAUGACAUUCAUUUAAUUUCAAGCCCCUCCUCAGUAUCUCCUCCAACCCCAAAGCCAACCGGUGAACGUAGGAAACUUGGUUCAAGUGGCCAGGAACUUGUCGUCUCUGGGAUUGGUGUUUAAACAGAACAGCAGGAGGACAGGGAGG